rnacentral:rRNA from 1 species
UGUGGUUACAAUAGCAGAGAGGAUACACCUGUUCCCAUUCCGAACACAGAAGUUAAGCUCUCUAGCGCUGAUGGUACUUGGUGGGAAACUGCCUGGGAGAGU